AAGAAUUGUUGAUCAGCUUAUAGAAGGAUGGAUUUAGUUGCGAAGUAUCAGGGUGUAGUUGGAAGGGUGUUUCGGAAUGAAAACUCAGGUUCAAGUGAAGAUAGCUAUGUCGAACGCUUGCUUGACCGGAUUAGCAAUGGUGUGCUGGCUGAGGAUAGGAGAGCUGCUAUGCUCGAACUUCAGUCUGUUGUCUCUGAAAGUCGUGCUGGACAAAUGGCCUUUGGAGCUAUGGGAUUCCCUGUGAUAUUGAGCGUCUUAAAGGAGGAGCGUGAUGAUUUUGAGAUGGUCAGGGGGGCUCUGGAAACUCUUGUGGGCGCUUUAUCUCCAAUUGGUCAUGCAAAAGGGCCUGCGAAUGAGGUUCAGCCAACUUUGAUGAAUAGUGAUUUGCUUUCUAGAGAAGUAGAUAAUAUCUCUCUUCUCUUAAGUUUGUUGUCAGAGGAGGAUUUCUAUGUACGAUACUAUACACUUCAACUUUUGACGGCCCUCCUAACUAAUUCUCCACAAAGGUUACAGGAAGCUAUUCUUAGCAUUCCCCGUGGUAUCACACGACUGAUGGAUAUGCUUAUGGAUCGUGAGGUCAUACGAAAUGAGGCACUGUUACUUCUGACUUACUUGACCCGUGAGGCUGAAGAAAUUCAAAAAAUUGUGGUCUUUGAAAGUGCUUUUGAAAAGAUAUUCAGCAUUAUUAAAGAAGAGGGAGGUUCAGAAGGAGGAGUUGUUGUGCAGGA
rnacentral:misc_RNA from 1 species